rnacentral:tRNA from 1 species
GGCCCGUUCGUCUAGUGGUUAGGACGUCAGGUUCUCAUCCUGAAAACAGGGGUUCGAUUCCCCUACGGGCUGCCA